UUGGAGGGCAAGUCUGGUGCCAGCAGCCGCGGUAACUCCAGCUCCAAUAGCGUAUAUUAAAGUUGUUGCAGUUAAAAAGCUCGUAGUUGAAUUUCGGGAUCAGAUUGUCGGUCGUGCCUCGGUACGCUCUGGCAUUAUUGGUUCCUACCUUCUGGAGAACCGCGAUGUCAUUAAUUUGGUGUCGUGGGGAAUCAGGACUGUUACUUUGAAAAAAUUAGAGUGUUUAAAGCAGGCUUACGCUUGAAUACAUUAGCAUGGGAUAAUGAAAUAGGACGUUUGAUUCUAUUUUGUUGGUUUCUAGGAUUGACGUGAUGAUUAAUAGGGAUAGUUGGGGGCAUUAGUAUUCAAUCGUCAGAGGUGAGAUUCUUGGAUUUAUUGAAGACUAACUACUGCGAAAGCAUUUGCCAAGGAUGUUUUCAUUAAUCAAGAACGAAAGUUAGGGGAUCGAAGACGAUCAGGUACCGUCGUAGUCUUAACCAUAAACUAUGCCGACUAGGGAUCGGAUGAUGUUAAUUUUUUAAUGACUCAUUCGGCGCCUUACGGGAAACCAAAGUGUUUGGGUUC
rnacentral:rRNA from 1 species